UUUCUCGACGGAGUCGUGGCUCGUGACGAGAUGACAACAGUCUUGACGCGUUCUAUAGCGUCACCCUGACAGAGAACUGACCACAACCCUUCCCGAUGGGUAUCGACAAACAGAAAAGUGGGAAGUGAUAUGGGUCGAAGAAAGUCAGACAGGCACUAUGGUGCAAAGAUUUCUUCAGGUUAUUGAACUCUUUCUGAUGAACCCCAGUCCACCUGAACUUGGCUUGCUUGGAGAGGCGACGUGGCAAUGGCUGGACUUGGUGUCCAGGUGGUUAUUGACGAUAUGGCCGUUGGAUGCCAUCUGUUAGAUGCUGAUUGAUCCUCCAAAACUAGUCACCCUCGCCCUGUGAAAUCUCCCGACCAUUUCAAUUGAUUGAAAUGGAACCCUUAUCCCAAGCGGCAACCCAUUCCGAAUUCAAACGUUGGGGUGAAGUUUGGGAGAACAACGCGCGAGCCCACAAGCUCACUGGAUUCGACAGGGAAGUACAGGUUUACUCUCUGAUUAGUGCUGUAGGACCAUAUGCCUCCUGCAUAAUCAAAACCCACUUCCAGAUCGACCUUGAUGACAUGAGCACCUCCGUGGAGGGGAUAUUGGGCAAAUUGAAGGCCUACUACCGUUCUCAGAGGAGUGUGGCGCUAGAUCGGGUCAAGUUCCAUCAGCGGAACAAGGAAGGAUCAGAAACCUUCGACCAG